rnacentral:rRNA from 1 species
GGUUAAGUGACUAAGCGUACACGGUGGAUGCCUUGGCAGUCAGAGGCGAUGAAAGACGUAGUAACUUGCGAUAAGCCCAGAUUAGGUAGUAACAACCAUUUGAGUCUGGGAUUUCUGAAUGGGGAAACCCACUUACAUAAGUAAGUAUCAUUAACUGAAUACAUAGGUUAAUGAGGCGAACCGGGGAACUGAAACAUCUAAGUACCCCGAGGAAAAGAAAUCAACCGAGAUUCCGAAAGUAGCGGCGAGCGAAAUUGGACUAGCCCUUAAGCUUUACACGCGUUAGACGAACGGUCUGGAAAGUCCGACGAUACAGGGUGAUAGUCCCGUAGUUGACGACGUGUGUUCAGUGAAAUCGAGUAGGGCGGGACACGUGAUAUCCUGUCUGAAUAUGGGGGACCAUCCUCCAAGGCUAAAUACUACUGACUGACCGAUAGUGAACCAGUACCGUGAGGGAAAGGCGAAAAGAACCCCUGUGAGGGGAGUGAAAUAGAACCUGAAACCGUGUACGUACAAGCAGUAGGAGCAGGCUUUGUCCUGUGACUGCGUACCUUUUGUAUAAUGGGUCAGCGACUUAUAUUCAGUGGCAAGGUUAACCAUCUAGGGGAGCCGUAGGGAAACCGAGUCUUAACUGGGCGUUCAGUCUCUGGAUAUAGACCCGAAACCAGGUGAUCUAGCCAUGGGCAGGUUGAAGGUUGAGUAACAUCAACUGGAGGACCGAACCGACUAAUGUUGAAAAAUUAGCGGAUGACUUGUGGCUAGGGGUGAAAGGCCAAUCAAACCUGGAGAUAGCUGGUUCUCCCCGAAAGCUAUUUAGGUAGCGCCUCGGACGAAUACUACUGGGGGUAGAGCACUGUUAAGGCUAGGGGUCAUCCCGACUUACCAACCCUUUGCAAACUCCGAAUACCAGUAAGUACUAUCCGGGAGACACACGGCGGGUGCUAACGUCCGUCGUGGAGAGGGAAACAACCCAGACCGCCAGCUAAGGUCCCAAAUUACUACUAAGUGGGAAACGAUGUGGGAAGGCUCAGACAGCCAGGAUGUUGGCUUAGAAGCAGCCAUCAUUUAAAGAAAGCGUAAUAGCUCACUGGUCGAGUCGGCCUGCGCGGAAGAUGUAACGGGGCUAAGUAGUAAACCGAAGCUGCGGCAAUAUACUUUUGUAUAUUGGGUAGGGGAGCGUUCUGUAAGCGGUUGAAGGUGUGUGGUAACGCAUGCUGGACGUAUCAGAAGUGCGAAUGCUGACAUGAGUAACGAUAAAGGGGUGAAAAACCUCCUCGCCGGAAGACCAAGGGUUCCUGUCCAACGUUAAUCGGGGCAGGGUAAGUCGACCCCUAAGGCGAGGCCGAAAGGCGUAGUCGAUGGGAAACGGGUUAAUAUUCCCGUACUUCUUACAAUUGCGAUGGGGGGACGGAGAAGGCUAGGUGGGCCUGGCGACGGUUGUCCAGGUUCAAGUGCGUAGGCUUAAGAGUUAGGUAAAUCCGGCUCUUUUUAAGGCUGAGACACGACGUCGAGCACCUACGGGUGUGAAGUCAUUGAUGCCAUGCUUCCAGGAAAAGCCUCUAAGCUUCAGAUUGUAAGGAAUCGUACCCCAAACCGACACAGGUGGUCGGGUAGAGAAUACCAAGGCGCUUGAGAGAACUCGGGUGAAGGAACUAGGCAAAAUGGUACCGUAACUUCGGGAGAAGGUACGCUCUUGAUGGUGAAGUCCCUCGCGGAUGGAGCUGACGAGAGUCGCAGAUACCAGGUGGCUGCAACUGUUUAUUAAAAACACAGCACUGUGCAAAAUCGUAAGAUGACGUAUACGGUGUGACGCCUGCCCGGUGCCGGAAGGUUAAUUGAUGGGGUUAGACUUCGGUCGAAGCUCUUGAUCGAAGCCCCGGUAAACGGCGGCCGUAACUAUAACGGUCCUAAGGUAGCGAAAUUCCUUGUCGGGUAAGUUCCGACCUGCACGAAUGGCGUAAUGAUGGCCACGCUGUCUCCACCCGAGACUCAGUGAAAUUGAAAUCGCUGUGAAGAUGCAGUGUACCCGCGGCUAGACGGAAAGACCCCGUGAACCUUUACUACAGCUUGGCACUGAACAUUGACCCUACAUGUGUAGGAUAGGUGGGAGGCUUUGAAGCACGUACGCCAGUAUGUGUGGAGCCGUCCUUGAAAUACCACCCUUGUAGUGUUGAUGUUCUAACGUCGACCCCUAAUCGGGGUUGCGGACAGUGCCUGGUGGGUAGUUUGACUGGGGCGGUCUCCUCCCAAAGAGUAACGGAGGAGCACGAAGGUGGGCUAAUCACGGUUGGACAUCGUGAGGUUAGUGCAAUGGCAUAAGCCCGCUUGACUGCGAGAAUGACAAUUCGAGCAGGUGCGAAAGCAGGUCAUAGUGAUCCGGUGGUUCUGAAUGGAAGGGCCAUCGCUCAACGGAUAAAAGGUACUCCGGGGAUAACAGGCUGAUACCGCCCAAGAGUUCAUAUCGACGGCGGUGUUUGGCACCUCGAUGUCGGCUCAUCACAUCCUGGGGCUGAAGUCGGUCCCAAGGGUAUGGCUGUUCGCCAUUUAAAGUGGUACGCGAGCUGGGUUUAGAACGUCGUGAGACAGUUCGGUCCCUAUUCUGCCGUGGGCGUUGGAAGAUUGAAGGGGCUGCUCCUAGUACGAGAGGACCGGAGUGGACGAACCUCUGGUGUUCGGGUUGUGUCGCCAGACGCAUUGCCCGGUAGCUAAGUUCGGAAUCGAUAACCGCUGAAAGCAUCUAAGCGGGAAGCGAGCCCUGAGAUGAGUCUUCCCUGAUACUUUAAGUAUCCUAAAGGGUUGUCGGAGACUACGACGUUGAUAGGUCAGGUGUGUAAGUGCUGUGAGGCAUUGAGCUAACUGAUACUAAUUGCCCGUGAGGCUUAACCAU